rnacentral:rRNA from 1 species
GACAGAGGGUGCAAACGUUGCUCGGAAUCACUGGGCGUAAAGGGCGUGUAGGCGGGAGGGAAAGUCAGAUGUGAAAUCCCCAGGCUCAACCUGGGAACUGCAUUUGAAACUCCCCUUCUUGAGUACCGGAGAGGAAAGUGGAAUUCCUGGUGUAGAGGUGAAAUUCGUAGAUAUUAGGAAGAACACCGGUGGCGAAGGCGGCCCACUGGAUCGGUACUGACGCUGAGGUGCGAAAGCGUGGGGAGCAAACAGG